UUAAAAAUUAAAAAUACAAGAUUGAUAAGGUUAUGCAUGGUGAAACCACAGGAAAUUGCUCAACUUCCUUGGUCUGUAAGGAGAGAUUUAACAAUGCAUAAGAUAAAAUCUCCGGAGCAUCCUUUUAUGACUUUUGUACUUCAAUAGAUUACAUAACCAAAGCUCAGAUUGCUGCAUUUCAGGCCCUGACCACUGGUGGAAAGGACUGACCUGCACCCACUGUCUAAAAUGCUAACUGAGUUCUUGAUAACUGAUAUCACAUGGCACAUGGAAAUCAGUGCAUUUUGGCCUGUAGACACGGUCAAGAUGCUCAAGUUCAAGCUCUGCAUCAGAAUGAGGAAGAAAGGUGAUUUAAAUGACUCUCUGUAAAAGAGAAAAUACCCAGUGAGCACCACUUCUCUGACUGAAAAUGCCUUGUUGAUGCCAGAUGUCAGAGGAGAAUUGUUAAAGUGCUUUAAGGUGACAGGAAGGCAACAGCAACUCAAAUAACAACUUGUUACAACCAUCGUAUGCAAUGGGAAUGGGAAACUGAACCUACAGUUCACACAGGCUCACCAAAACUGUACAAUAAAGGUUUUGAAAAAUAUUGUCUGGUCUGAUGAGUUUCUACUUCUGCUGUGACAAUCGGCUGGUAAGGUCAGAAUCUGUAGCAAACAACAUGAAAGCAUGGAUUCAUUUUGCUUUGUAUCAAUAGUUCAUGCUGCUGGCGGUAGUGUUGUGACAGUGGGGGAUAUCUUCUUGGCACACUUUGGGCUUCUUAGUAUCAGUACAGUGCACCCGUCUUCUGAUGGCUGCUUCUGAGACGAUAACGUGCCAUUUCAGUCAUCUUAAACUCCCUUCUUGAACAUGACAAUAAGUUUAUUUUACUGAAAUGGCCUCCCCUGUCACCAGAUCUCAGUCGAAUGGAGUUCACAAUUCUGCAACAACUAUGUGAUGCUGUCAUGUCAAUAUGGACCAGAACCUCUGACAAAUGUUUCCAGCACCUUGUUGAAUCUCUGCCAUGAAGAAUUAAAACUGUUCUCAAGGAAUAAACAGAUCUGACCAAUCAGACCACUGCAUUUGGCAACAACUGUGCUUAAUGCUCAUCGUAUGCACCAGUACUGAAUGUGCAAUGAUGUGGCUGCAAUUUUGCCAAAAAGAGAAAGCAGUCGAGAUACAGCAUCAACUCCUGGAUCAAACCAAGAAAUUCUCCCUGCUGCUGUCCUCUCCUGACAAUUGGAUGAACUCAGUUUUUUCUUUUUCUUUUUUUAGAAACAUCAGAAUCAGCUCAUCAUUUAUUUCUUUCAACUUCAUUUCUUCACACAAAGCAAGACUUUUGUUGUGUAUAUGUGUUAUACGACAAGUUUGGAUAAAAAAAAUCUGAAUUUUAGCCAUUUCUCCGCAUACAUUCAAUGUGCAAAGGCCUUUAACCCACAGUAACCAGCAAAGGGUGAAACCUGAGCGAAGAUGGGUAGAUU